AUAUACGACCAUGCCACCCUGAACAAGAUUGAUCCCAUCUGAUCUCACAAGCUAAAAAGGGUCAGGCCUGGUUAGUACUUGGGUGGGAGACUACCUAGGAAGACCAGUUGCUGUAGGCA
rnacentral:rRNA from 1 species